rnacentral:rRNA from 1 species
AACGUUAUUCGUAGUUACUGGGCGUAUAGAAUAAAUAAGUAAAAAUCUAAACGAGUUUUGUUUAUUUUUAAAAAAUUAAUAAAUAUUUUUCAUUUUUCUAAUGUAAUGAUAAAAUAUAAUAACAUUAUAGGGGUUUCUUGUGAAUAAAUAAAUAUUAAUUUAUAUUGAAUUAUGAAGGUAUAAAAAUCAAAUAGGAUUCGGGACCCUAGUAGUUUAUACAGUAAACAAUGGUAAUUAUUAAUAUUAAUUAUCCGCUUAGGUAGUAUAACCGCAAGGUUGAAAUUUAACAGAAUUGGCGGGAAUUUAAUUUAACGGUGGAGCAUGUGGUUUAAUACGAUAAUCCACGUAAAAUCUUACCAGUGUGUUUGUUUAUUUAAUUUUUUUUUAUUAGGAAAGUUAUUAUAAACGUGUAGUAUUGCAUGGCUGUCGUCAGCUCGUGUUGUGAAAUGUAAAAUUAAGUUUUUUAACGAGUAAAAUCCCUAGUAUUUUUAUAAUUAUGAAUUUUUAUUUGUAUUUAAAAAUACUCUUAUAUUUAGGGUUGAAGUCAAGUCGGUAUGAUCUUUGAAUGCUGGGCUAUACACGUGUUACAAUGCUAAUUACAAAAAAUGGUUUUUUUGUGAAAAUAUACUAUAUUUUAAAAAUUAGCAAAGUUCAGAUUAUUUUUUGUAACUCAAAAGUAUGAAGAUGAAAUCGUUAGUAAUUGUAAAUAAUUAUGUUACAGUGAAUUAUCAAAUUAAAUUUUGUACACACUGCCCAUCACGCUCGAAAAACAAAUUUAAUUUUUUUUUAUUAGAUAAACACAAAAGCUAACUGACGUUUUUGAACGUUUUUGUUUAUUUAGUAUUAAUGAUAUUUUUUGUAAUUUGAGUG